UUUAGAGUUAGGAUAUCUAGUAAGUCCUAAUAUGCAAUGAUAAAAUAGUUUGUGAGACAACUCUAGGUAUACCACGAGUAACUUAUACUACAUAUGUUAUUAUAUUGUAGAUUCAGGAUUUAUAGAAGAAUCUUUCUGACUCGAGAUUGAGAUUUGCUAACUUUGAUUGCUGAUAAGGGACUUGAAGAUAGUUAGCUCCAGUUGGGUUAAAGAGUGCGUUGGAUCCAUUUUGAUUUAGUAGGACUUUAAAAAGACUUCCGCUGUUAUUUAUUUAAAGGAUUAUGUUCUGGUUUGUAAUAAUUAAUUUUACAUUCUAUUUAGUUGGUCUGUAAUAAUUAGUUAAAACUUUUGGUUAUUGUUUUAGUCAGAACCAUUAGCCUUGCGGUUAUUAUUAAUAAUUAUCGCGGCGUAGCACCUUUGGAUUUC